rnacentral:rRNA from 1 species
UACGUAGGGUGCAAGCGUUAAUCGGAAUUACUGGGCGUAAAGCGUGCGCAGGCGGUUUUGUAAGUUUGUCGUGAAAUCCCCCGGGCUCAACCUGGGAAUGGCGAUGAAGACUGCAAGGCUAGAGUUUGGCAGAGGGGGGUAGAAUUCCACGUGUAGCAGUGAAAUGCGUAGAUAUGUGGAGGAACACCGAUGGCGAAGGCAGCCCCCUGGGUCAAAACUGACGCUCAUGCACGAAAGCGUGGGGAGCAAACAGG